GCCCAUAACUGAAAUUCGAAGGCGUGCACGCGCUUAUUUUUUAGGCGGCGCCACUUCGCACAGAAGCUCAACUUUCAUAAAGAACAGAGUUCAUUUGCAGCGGCCUACUGGUAGAACUGAUGGUUGGACCUGAGAAGCUUUUUUUUCCUUUUUGCAAAGCCAAGGUGACACRACUAUCAAAGGCCAGCCUGGGGGGAAAGGGCCACAAAGUUCCUUAAAGGCAACCAUAAGACCCUGU